rnacentral:rRNA from 1 species
AUUGAACGCUGGCGGCAGGCCUAACACAUGCAAGUCGAACGAGUGGCAGAAGGGUGAGUAAUGUCUGGGAAACUGUCUGAUGGAGGGGUAUAACUUCUGGAACCGGUCGCUAAUACCGCAUACCCUCGACUGUCCCCAUAUGGGAUUAGCGAGUAGGUGGGGUAACGGGUCACCUAGGCGACGAUCCCUAGAUGGUCUGAGAGGAUGACCAGCCACACUGGAACUGAGACACGGGCGAGACUCCUACGGGAGGCAGCAGUGGGGAAUAGUGCACAAUGGGCGAAAGCCUGAUGCAGCCAUGCCGCGUGUAUGAAGAAGGCCUUCGGGGUGUAAAGUACUGUCAGCGGGGAGGCGUUACCCGCAGAAGAAGCACCGGCUAACUCCGUGCCAGCAGCCGCGGUAAUUC